GGGCGGGCCCGGUUGUUGUCGGGCGGUCGGGGCGGUUCAAGAAAUCCAGUGCAAAAUUGCUGCAAAGCAAGGAUGAUUAUACAGAGAGUAGUGCUGAAUUCACGGCCUGGGAAGAAUGGAGUGCCAGUGGCUGAAAACUUCCGACUAGAACAAAGUACAAUAGCGGAUACGGUCCAAGCGGGACAAGUGCGUGUUAAAACCCUCUAUCUCUCUGUGGACCCUUACAUGCGCUGCCGAAUGAAUGAGGACACGGGCUCCGAUUACCUCCAGCCCUGGCAGCUCUCUGAAGUUGCUGAUGGUGGCGGUGUUGGGGUUGUGGAGGAGAGCAAGCAUGAGAACCUCGCUGAAGGAGACUUUGUAACUUCCUUCACCUGGCCCUGGCAGACAGUGGCAAUUCUCGAUGGAAACUUGCUACAAAAGCUUGUUCCACAGCUUGUAAAUGGACGCCUUUCCUACUUUCUCGGUGCAGCUGGGAUCACGGGACUGACGGCCCUGUUGGGUGUCAGGGAGAAGGGACACGUGGCUGUGGGUGCAAAUCAGACGAUGGUGGUGAGCGGAGCAGCCGGUGCUUGUGGCUCUUUGGCUGGCCAGAUUGGCCGUCUGGAGGGCUGCUCUAGAGUGGUGGGAAUCGCUGGCACAGAUGAAAAGUGCUCCAUUUUGGUCCAAGAAAUGGGGUUUGAUGCUGCUAUCAAUUACAAGAAGGGAAAUGUGGCAGAACAGCUACGUGAACUCUGCCCAGGUGGUGUGGAUGUUUACUUUGACAAUGUUGGUGGAGACAUCAGUGAUACGGUUAUAAGUCAGAUGAAUCAGAACAGCCAUAUCAUCCUGUGUGGACAGAUUUCUCAAUAUAACAAAGAUGUGCCUUAUCCUCCUCCGCUGCCUCCUGACAUAGAAAAAAUACAGAAAGAAAGGAACAUCACAAGGGAAAGAUUCUUAGUGUUGAACUAUAUGGACAAACAUGAAGCUAGUAUAUUACAACUCUGCCAGUGGAUCCAAGAGGGUAAACUGAAGGUCAGAGAGACCAUGGUAGAAGGCUUAGCAAACAUUGGUGCUGCUUUCCAGUCCAUGAUGAGUGGAGGCAAUAUCGGAAAACAGAUCGUCUCAGUUUCUAAGUAAAAGUCAUUGGUUUGAGAAAAAUAAUUGCAAUCUGUCUCUAAUACCUGCUUGGAAGGAAGUAUACAUAGGAUAGUAUUCAAAGCAAGCUAAUUAAAUACCUGUAUAUUUCAAAAGGGACUUCGGCUAUGAACUGUGAGAAUACUCUCAGGUGAGUUGCUUCAGGGACCUGUGUGUGAACAACUAUACCACUAGAUGUAACCCUAAAAUCUGAUGUUGGAAAAAGAAAAUGAAAACCAGACGCUCAAUGCCUUCUUUGCAAUCUAACACAGGAAAAAUGAAAUGUCAAGAAAGAUGUUGGUAAACAAUAUUCCUAUCCUUUCUACUGCUUAUUUAUAUAGCAAAAAAAGUUAAUUUUACAAACAUCUUUACCUUACAAUUAUCAUCCUUACCAUUUCUUGAGUUGCUAGAUGGCCUUGUAGAGGCAUGACAGACCACAGAACCUGUGCACCACAUGCUUCAGUCAUUUACCUAAAUGAACUCAGAUGCUGAAUCUUAAAAAUAUUACUCAGCCAUUGCUGUUAAAGUUAAGCAAAAGUAACACUUUACAUAGGAAGUAAAAAUUCUCUCCUACUUGUCUGAAUUCCAGUAUUAAAUCAAUGUCCAGAGAGCCUUCCAAUACCAGUAAGGUCUCAAAAUCUAAUUUUUCUAAAUAAAUGUCCCACAUUCAUAAUAAUUUAAAAAUGUAAACACUCUUUUAGACAAACAUACAUAUUCAAAACAAUUUUUCUAUAUAGAAACAAAUCAAAAUUCCAAACAAACCACCACAGAAAUAAAAUAGACAGCCAAAUGGAAGGUCAAGACUUAAACAAUACCUUGUUUAAAAUCCCAAAGAAAUUAUAGGGUCUCUUAGGGCCUGGGCUGAGUGUGGCAUCCACGCAGAUGAAUGAAUAGUUCCCAAAGGAGGUAGUGUGGAUGUAAUGGAAAGAGCCAUCUUUAUGCCAGGCAGAGUAUUUCCUAACAAAAUAAAGUGGAAAUAUUGCUGUUAGGAAAGCCUGUAGCAAUGACAACAGUGACCUGCACAGUAUAAACGCAAGAUGCCUUGCAAGCAUUAGAUCUAGCUCCUUCUUGUUACUGCAGUAGUCUCUUAAAAGUCAAUGGCAUUGAAAAAUCUGUACUUCAAAGAAGAUGCAUUACAUGGGUUAUGUGUUAAGACAAGCAGCAAGUUAGCACACAAACAUUUAAAAAAAUGUUAGCACAAAUAUGCUUUCCCUGAGCAACACAGUACUUUUUUAUGGAUAAAGGAUAGGCCAGCAGUGUACAACAAACAGGUGAGAUGACAGAACAGCAGGAUCUUACACGAUUCUUAAUUAAAGGAGAACUACAAAUUAAAAAUGAAAAUUGUUCUGUAUUUAUCAUGGUAUCCAAAAGAAUUUUUCCUUGCUCACCUAGAGCAUAUCAGGGACAUUAAGUCUUGUCUCCAUUAUUUUGUUAGAGAUCUCUUAAGUUACUCUGAUGUAGAAUAAUCAGCUCUUGGCUAAUGGAAUAUGAUACUGAAGCAAAGAAAUGUUGAACUUUUUCAGUUAUUUUCCAAAAGAUGGAAAACAGAGACACUACAUUAAAUCUUAUAAAUAGUAAAGAAGGCAGCAUUUCUCUUUGCUGCUUCUUUUUUAUUUCUUGAUGUAGCAAAUCUUACCAGUUCUCUUGGUAAUGUCAUUAUCAGGUCUGUGGAAUGUCAUCAGAGUUCUUUGUUCAAAGAGUAAGAGGAGAGCAGAAAAAGGGUUGCUAUUCUUUUGCACAUUACUGAAUAUUAAUUGAACUCUUGAAUCUUAGUCUUCAAAUACUCUAAGAAAGAACUGUGAAUAGGGGAGGACUUAAAAGACAUGUCAACUAAUUCCACCUUUUUUUUUUCUCCUGUGCUUUUAUCCUAAUAUUGGUUACAAUAAAUACAUAUAAUAAUGUA